rnacentral:rRNA from 1 species
AUGCCAGAAGGGGUUAACGAGACUUCUAUCGUGUUAAUCCCAAAAGUUGCUACCCCUACAAGACUUUCUGAAUUCAGACCCAUUAGUCUUUGUAACGUGAUUUAUAAGGUGGUUUCUAAAUGCCUUGUUAACAGACUAAGGCCCCUUCUGGAUGAAAUUAUCUCCCCUGAACAAAGUGCCUUCAUCUCUGGAAGGAUGAUAACAGACAACGCUUUCAUUGCCUUUGAAUGCAUCCACCAUAUCAAGCAAGAAAAGGAUCCAACUAAGAGUUUUUUGUGCUUAUAA